UGGAAAAUUGUCAGAGUGGUUUAAUGGGCUGGCUUAAUAAGCUAGUGAGUGUAAAAGCUCCACAGGUUCGAGUCCUGUAUUUUCCAAC
rnacentral:tRNA from 1 species